rnacentral:rRNA from 1 species
AUUGAACGCUGGCGGCAGGCCUAACACAUGCAAGUCGAACGAGUGGCGGACGGGUGAGUAAUGUCUGGGAAACUGCCCGAUGGAGGGGGAUAACUACUGGAAACGGUAGCUAAUACCGCAUCCCAUCGGAUGUGCCCAGAUGGGAUUAGCUAGUAGGUGGGGUAACGGCUCACCUAGGCGACGAUCCCUCGCUGGUCUGAGAGGAUGACCAGCCACACUGGAACUGAGACACGGUCCAGACUCCUACGGGAGGCAGCAGUGGGGAAUAUUGCACAAUGGGCGCAAGCCUGAUGCAGCCAUGCCGCGUGUAUGAAGAAGGCCUUCGGGUUGUAAAGUACUUUCAGCGGGGAGGCGUUACCCGCAGAAGAAGCACCGGCUAACUCCGUGCCAGCAGCCGCGGUAAUUC